AGUGAACGCUGGCGGUAUGCCUAACACAUGCAAGUCGAACGGCAGCACAGUAAGAGCUUGCUCUUACGGGUGGCGAGUGGCGGACGGGUUAGGAAUACAUCGGAAUCUACUUUUUCGUGGGGGAUAACGUAGGGAAACUUACGCUAAUACCGCAUACGACCUACGGGUGAAAGCAAGGGAUCUUCGGACCUUGCGCGAUUGAAUGAGCCGAUGUCGGAUUAGCUAGUUGGCGGGGUAAAGGCCCACCAAGGCGACGAUCCGUAGCUGGUCUGAGAGGAUGAUCAGCCACACUGGAACUGAGACACGGUCCAGACUCCUACGGGAGGCAGCAGUGGGGAAUAUUGGACAAUGGGCGCAAGCCUGAUCCAGCCAUACCGCGUGGGUGAAGAAGGCCUUCGGGUUGUAAAGCCCUUUUGUUGGGAAAGAAAAGCAGCAGGUUAAUACCCCGCUGUUCUGACGGUACCGAAAGAAUAAGCACCGGCUAACUUCGUG
rnacentral:rRNA from 1 species